rnacentral:piRNA from 1 species
UGGCACAUAACAGGUUUGUUCCCAUCUUC